UGUGUGUGUGUGUGUGUGUGUGUGUGUGUGAGAAAUGUGUGUUUGUGUGUAAAUCAGCCCACCUUUCUCUCUUGAUUUCUUUCCCCUUGCAGUGCUGUGUUUAGUCAUGUCUGACUCUUUGCAACCCCAUGGACUAUACCCUGCCGUGCUCCUCUGUCCACGAGAUUCUCCAGGCAAAAAUACUGGAGUGAGUAGCCAUUUCCUUCUCCAGAUCUUCCUGAGCCUGGGAUUCAAGCUGUGUCUCUGGCAUCUCCUGCAUGGACAGGUGGAUUCUUUACCACUAGCGCCACCUGAAGGCCCUUAUCUUCCCCCUUUUGUUUCCUGCCUUCCCUACCAUUUCUAGUCCAUCCCCAAUGGCUCAUCCCAAGCUGCUGCUUUAAAUCGUCGUGCAUUUCCUGGAGACUUUUUCAACCUGUGUGCUCAACUGCCCCGUGGUAUGCGGGAUCUUACUUUUCGACCUGGAUCAAGUCAACAUUCCCUCCAUUGCAAGGCAGAUUCUUAGCCAUUGGACCAGCAAGGAAGUGAACGCCAAGGACCACCUUAAGAGAACUCUCUCUCCUUUUUUUAAUGUAUCUAGUGGCAUGUGGAACUUCCCCAACCAUGGAUUCAACCUGUGUCCCCUACAGCAGAAGCUCAGAAUCUUAACCACUGGACUUGCCAGGAAAGUCCCUAUCUACUCAUUUUAGAAGCUGCUUACAUCAGUGCUUUACUCCCUCCCCCUUCAAUGAGGUUAUGUCACACAUUUGUAAAACAGAUUCUUUGGUCUCUGUAUUCUGUCUUGUAGUUGUCCGGUCUCCCAACUGAUAUGUUUUUAAAUUUGCAUUCUUUAAGAUUCAUUCUCGAGUUGUAAAGCCCUGUGGGUUUUGGCGAAUACACAAUGUCAUGAUCACAACCAGAAAAAAAUCCCCAGGGCUUCCCCUAUUUAACUUUUCCUCCUCCCCAAAUUCCUGGAAGCUUCUGAUCUAUUUUCUGUCUAUAAUUUUGCCUCUUCUGGGAUAUCAUACACACAGAAUCAUACAGAAUGUAGCCUUGUCAGACUGGAUUCUUACACUUAGUAAAACAUUUAAGAUUCAUUCAUUUUGCCACACCCACAGUGUUUUUAUAACAAAAACAUGUACAUUGUUGUCAAACAUUAUUUCCUCUACAAACCAGAAUGUUUAAUAAAAGUCUGUAGACGCUAAUGAGGAAGUGAAAGAAAGUAGGUUUACAUAGCUGGACACAGAGGCAGAACAUACUAGUUACAAUUUAUUGUUUGUUAAAAUAACUUUUAUGAACAAUUUUACUGGUAAUGGAAAUUUCAUAAAGCACACUUAGGGUGUUUCUAGUACCAAACGGAUAUAUAUUCCUAAGAUCACAGGGAGAUAUCCUUCAUUUCAAGAAAAGUUUUAUUAGAAAAAAAUCAGAUUAAUAUAUAUCAGGAG
ensembl:lncRNA